UAAAUGGUAUCUGAUAAUGUCGAAGUCGC
rnacentral:sRNA from 1 species